CCUACCCCCGAAAUCUCAGCAGCCGUCGUCGCAUUUGAACCGGCAAUUGUUUUUUUUUCCUCGUUUGUUGUCAUUUUCGUUUUUAAUGGCGGCCUGCUGUCAUUUAAAAUGAAUAAAUAUAUUACUUUUAGAAAAUGGCCGACCUCUCGUGAAGAGAACGAUGGAAUUUAUAGAUUCGUCUGGGAAACUUGUCGAGAAAGCUUUUUUGCUUUUUUAGAUAAACUGACACGAGAGUUUGGUACCUUCUCAAACAGGCAUAAUUUCAAUCUAAUUAAUUGUAUCUGAGAUUUUUUUACCAGAUUUUUUUACUAACAGAGAGCCCUCACUUUUUGCCGUAGCAAAACUGUUGGCAACUGGUCUUGUAAAUCUGAACAGGGUAGAAGUUCUUUGGAGUCCUGUAACAAAUCACCUGCUUGAAGUCAUCGUCCACCCACUUAACCGCUUGAGAGAAUGGGGAAUAGAUGUCAUUACUACGUUAGUUAGAUCAGUAAUUCAAUAUGAUUAUUAUACCCCUUUAAAAGAAAACCAGAGAUUGCAGACGUUGUUAAUAUCACCAUUAAAUGAGCUGUCUAGUACCAGUUUUGCAGACGUGAAUCAAAAGCAAGUUGAUUGUGUGCUCCAUUUGCUGCACAGCUCUGGUGACAUAAUCUCUUUUGGAUGGCCCUUGUUUCUUAAUAUCAUAGGAGCUAUCAACAAUUCUCAAGGGUAACAAUCAAAGUAUUUAUCAUGUUAUACCAAUUACUUUAUCACAUUAUUUUUUUUUAUUUAGUAAAUUGUCUUUAAAGUAACUGAAACAAUUUAUAUAGUUGAAUGUGUGUUGUG
rnacentral:misc_RNA from 1 species